CGCAGGGUCUGGGCACCGCUCUGAAGAUCCUGUUCUCUGAGAAGGAGAUCCAGAACCUCCCGGAGCACAGCCCGUCUAAAGGCUUCCAGCUGACCCGGCAGGAGAUCGUGGCCUUACUCAACGGGUUCGGCAGGUUGUCCACCAGCAUUCAGCAGCUGCACAGUUUCCGCCUGCUGUUGAAGGACAACAGGUAACAGCAGGUGAUCUCACCUGGCCAGUAGGAGGCUCCGCCCCCAGAGACCUGCAGGAGUCUAAUCCAGCCAAGAAAAAGGCCUUUUUCAUGGACAUCAGGAUCAGCAGUGAACCAUUAACACCUUCUUCUUCUCCUUUCUAUACAUCUUCCUCCUCCUCUUCCUCCUCCUCCUCUUCCUCCUCCUCCUCUUCCUCCUCCAUCUGGCAGGUCUUGAAUGUUAACUCUCGCCCCCUCUUGCCUACGUCAAAAACUCCCAACGUUUUUCUUCUUCUUCUUUCUGCUGUAAAUCUUGUCGGCCAUUGACAAACCUUUUCCAUUGUUUUAUUCUGCUUUGAUACGUUGACCUGUAAAAUCAGCAGGUGUUCUGUGGUGUUGGUCAAAGCCGGAGGAAAUGAUCCAUAGUUUGGAAGGAAGUGACGAAACUGACCAAAUUUGACAUGACAGACUUGGAACGCCGGGACCUGGAAGUGUGUCCAACAGGAAGUGAAUUGAAUGUUUCUUUCCUGCUGACCCCGCCCUCUGCUGACAUCACACCCUGUUGGAUUUGCACUCACGUGAACCCGAGUCAAACCUUUUAUUGUAAGGAUGUAGAAAUGCUUUCUCCUGAGAGAGGACUCAGUCUAAACGGUUUUCCAGAUAAAAGUGAGUCUGAGGAUUAUGCUGCCUGUUUGUUUUUUUUCGUUUUCCUUUUCCUUUGAUCAUCUUCUCCGGCGUUUUUUGCUCGAAGCCUGAGGAUUUGGACCAAUCUGCUUGAGUUUACCAUCUCAGGCUUUACACAUGUCGGCUCGCUAGAACAUUGUGUGCGUGUGUGUGUGUCUGUGUGGAUCAACAGUUGCAGCUAUAAGAUAAUGGACUAUGACUUGAUUCCAUUGCUCACCUUGAUACUGUAGCAGAUCUUUGCUCUCUUUCGAUAAUAGCUAAUAAUUGUAAGCUUAGUUUUUUGAUGAGUCAUGUUUCUGUCUAGUCGCUGCCUUGUGUUUUUGCAAAGCUGACGCCUCCUUUUCUUCUGCAUUUAUUUUUGCUUCGGCCAUGUUGUCUUAAAGCACACCUUGAAUCAAGAGAGAUUUAUUUAAAUAUAAAAAAUAGAGUUAUUAGGUGUUCUUUAGAGUUUAUUUCACGAUGUUUAUUUCCACAGAAGAGACCCAGGAGGUGUGAUUGCACAGGGAUGAGAGGAUUGGGUUUAAAGGAGCGGCUGCAGAUCAGCAGGAGGCUGGAGGUGACUCACAAUGUUUCAGGAGCCUCUAGGAGGGAGAGAAAAACAACUUUAAUGUGCAGCGCUCUGCAGAAACAUUCUCCUUAAAGGAUGAGUCUGUCGUUAUUCUUUAUCUAAAUUCUUACAGAUUGUCUCUUAAAAUGUUAUGACUUCCUUUCUUUGACGUCUACAGCUCUAGCCCAAUUGGAUCAUGAGGACGUAAAUCUUUAAAAAACUGAUUUUUGAUUUGAUUUUCUCAAACAGGAGGAAAUAGUGAUUUUGUUUGGGACUAUGUUAUAGUUUUGAAUGUAAAAGGAUCUCUGUGGCACAGAGGGAGAAGAUAAAUCAUGAUUUGAUGCAAACACACAAUACAUGUUAGGAGAUACAUCCAUUUCGAAGUUGUUGUUUUUUUGGAUUUGUUGGAAAAAUAUAGAAUAUCACCAAACUUUUACUUCAACUAGGUGUUUAACCCUGAGAGAGAGAGAUAUCUUUGAAACAACAUAGAAUAACUUUACACUGUGAACAACCUGUUUAAAUAGUUACAGUUGGUAAGCAACGUCAAACAAGCAAAGGACUAUUUGGUGACGUACGCCAUGUUUUACGGAGUCUGCAGUAGAUUUUGGAAUAAUGGGUAAAGCUGCAACAACCACAGCUGAAUAUCAUAGGCUGACACACCUGUCAAUCAAACAAAAACAGCUGUUUCUUAUGCUUAACAAAAUAUAUGAAGUCUACUAUUCUUACACCUUACUCGGGACCUAUUAUGCUGUUUGGGGUUUUCCCUUUUCCUGUAGUAUGUUAUAUAUUUUUUGUGCGUGUAAAUGGUCUUCUAAGCUUAAAAUCCAAAAGUUUUAAGGGGCGGGACAUCUCUAAGCGGUUGACCAAUCACAACAGUCGGCCAGCUAACCAAUCAGAGCAGACUGGGCUCUGGUUUCAGACAGAGGGUGAAAAGAGGUGCCGUCACUCUUCAGCUGUGGUUGUUGCAGCUUUGUGGUCUGCUAAUAAAGUUGUAUACAAUGGCGACGAUGGAUUUAUGAGGCAAUUUUACAGAUUAUUCAGAUUCCUGUCGAUAUAGUUUUUUUUUGUUCAGCAGUGAAAGCAUAAAGUGGACCAAAGAGUUUUAAGUUGCCUACUUUAUUUAUGUGUUGUUUGUUUGUGAUGCCCAGAAAGUGUUUAUGUUUUAGUUUAUUAAUUAUUAAAUUGGUAAAAAAGAGACGUGAUAUUACACGUUAUCAGAUAUAUUUAAGGUUUUUUUCUGGUCAUAUAGUUUAAGAGGAUUAGUCUAAAGUACUUUAGUAUAUGUAAUUGUUUAAAAAAUUACAAUUUUUUAAAGUUUAAUAUUAAUCGUUAAGUCCCAUCUUCUGCUUUAAUGCAAUUUAUAUUUAUUUUUGAUUGAGGCGGCACACAUGUUAAAUUAAAUGCCUUCUUUCAUUUUCUGUCAUAUAAUCCAAGAUUUUGGAAAUUAAUAAAUGUUUUUCUUUUUAUUGAAUUACUUAAUUUUCUAUCAUGUACCAGAAAUACACAAGUCACACGUCAUACAUAGAUCGAGAAAAGAUGGGUUUUCAAAAAUAAAUACACAUCUGAUUUAAUUAAUAUUAUUACAUUUCACAAGCAGGCAUUCAGUUUUUGAUCAAAUACAAAUGAUUUCCCAUUUUCUUUGCUUCGAUAAAAGUACUCUUAUAUUAAAUAAUUUAGUCUGAUUUCUUUGUUUCUGUUUGGGAUUGAGACAGGAAUGUGUGUCCGUGUGUGUCUGUGCGUCCUCUGAGCCUUGCAUGCCUUCCAGCAGCCGGACGUCCCGUACACUCGUCAGCCUUAAAACUAAAUUGCGAUUUAGGAAAGAGACAAACCUUCUUCAGACCUUCAGGCUCUUCGUGUCGGGAUCCAAACCUGUAGAGUUUUUUUUUGUAAAAGGAAGCAGCUUUCUUUUGUUUUGCUUACAGAUCUUUAAGAAUAUUUGCACCAUGUUGAUGUGUGUACCUGUUGAGUAUAUUUAUUUGAAAAGAGGAAUAAAUAUUUCUGGACAUCA